CGGCUGAACCAGCAACUUGGAAGAAUGUAUAACGAAUAAGUCGUAUAAAAUUCUAGAUAGAAAAUUGAUAAUGACUACUAUCUAUCUAUUAGUCUUGACCAAAUUACGUGCCAGCAGUCGCGGUAAUACGCAGAAGACAAGUGUUAAUCAUCUUUAUUCGGUUUAAAGGGUACCUAGACAGAAAAUCAAGCCAAGUAGGGACUAAUUUUCUAGAGUUUUAUGGGAUAAAGUCGAACAUCUGGAGUAGAGAUAAAAUAUUGUAAUACCAGAUGGACAGGUAACGGCGUAGGCAACUUUAUAUUUAAAAACUGACGUUGAGGGACGAAGCCCUGGGUAACGAGAAGGAUUAGAUACCCCAGUAGUCCAGGGAGACAAUGAUGAGUGUCAUAGGCUCGGUAAAUUAGUCUAUAAAUGAAAGUGUAAGCAUUCCACCUCAAGAGUAAAGCGGCAACGCCCAAAUUGAAAUCAUUAGACCGUUUCUGAAACCAGUAGUGAAGUAUGUUAUUUAAUUCGAUAAUCCGCGAAUAACUUUACCACGUUUUGAUUAGUAUAUACAGUAUAUUUACAGCGCUGCACGGCUGCCUUUAGUAAUGGCG
rnacentral:rRNA from 1 species